GCCCCUCGUUUACGCCGAGAAAAUAUUUGUUCAACCCAAAUUACCUUGA
rnacentral:tRNA from 1 species